rnacentral:hammerhead_ribozyme from 1 species
GUACUACUGAAGAGUCCCAAACUAGGACGAAAGAAACACCUUUCCAGUAC